ACGAUCGCAAUGUUUAACUUGAAGUUCUUGAUUCUGUUGGCCGUCAUCCUUUGCUCUGCUCAGGAAUGCAUUGUCUCCGCCAAUCCUGCUCCAGUUGCGUCACAGGCUGCUAUUGCUGAGGAAGGCGGUUGUGGAUGCGGUUGCUGUGGUUGCGGCUGCGGUUGUUGCCGCUGUGGUUGCUGUGGAUGAAUUCUUAUCUCAGAUAAAUAGAACGGAGGUUAACGCAAAUGGGAAUUGAACCGUCAGAGCUGUUUAUUUAACAUUUGUGCAUUUGCUGUCAUUAAAAUGUUGUUAUCCUUUGAA